rnacentral:rRNA from 1 species
UAUUGCACAAUGGAGGAAAAUCUGAUGCAGCGAUGCCGCGUGAGGGAAGAAGGUUUUCGGAUUGUAAACCUCUGUCUUAAGGGACGAUAAUGACGGUACCGUAGGAGGAAGCUCCGGCUACAUACGUGCCAGCAGCCGCGGUAAUACGUAGGGAGCGGGCGUUGUCCGGAAUUACUGGGUGUAAAGGGAGUGUAGGCGGGAUGGUAAGUUAGGUGUGAAAUGCGGAGGCUCAACCUCCGAGCUUCACUUAAAACUGCUGUUCUUGAGUGAAGUAGAGGUUGGCGGAAUUCCCAGUGUAGCGGUGAAAUGCGUAGAUAUUGGGAGGAACAUCAGUGGCGAAGGCGGCCAACUGGGCUUUUACUGACGCUGAGGCUCGAAAGCGUGGGGAGCAAACA